ACGAACGCUGGCGGCGUGCUUAACCCAUGCAAGUCGAACGGAAAGGCCCUGCUUUUGUGGGGUGCUCGAGUGGCGAACGGGUGAGUAACACGUGAGUAACCUGCCCUUGACUUUGGGAUAACUUCAGGAAACUGGGGCUAAUACCGGAUAGGAGCUCCUGCUGCAUGGUGGGGGUUGGAAAGUUUCGGCGGUUGGGGAUGGACUCGCGGCUUAUCAGCUUGUUGGUGGGGUAGUGGCUUACCAAGGCUUUGACGGGUAGCCGGCCUGAGAGGGUGACCGGCCACAUUGGGACUGAGAUACGGCCCAGACUCCUACGGGAGGCAGCAGUGGGGAAUAUUGCACAAUGGGCGGAAGCCUGAUGCAGCAACGCCGCGUGCGGGAUGACGGCCUUCGGGUUGUAAACCGCCUUCGCCUGUGACGAAGCGUGAGUGACGGUAAUGGGUAAAGAAGCACCGGCUAACUACGUG
rnacentral:rRNA from 1 species